GGCCAAUAAUAAGAGGAAAAGAAAGAAAGAAAACACAGCAUACCACUUAAAAACGAAAAACUACAGGGGAACGCAUGAAACACCUGAAAUUUACAUUUUUAAGGCAUAAAAUUUAAGAGAUCUUUUUGAUACAGGAAACCCCAUUAUUCUAGUCAAUUUCCCGCUCAAGAUUGAAGGACAGAAGCCCAAGGAAAGGAAAAACCAAAGAGAGAUUGGAAGUGGGGGGUAAGACAAAAUCUCACUUGGCACCUAAGGUUGGGAACUGUCCUGGAUCUUCAAUGGAAGGGGCUGCCACAUUGCUCA
rnacentral:lncRNA from 1 species